UACGGAGGGUGCGAGCGUUGUCCGGAAUCACUGGGCGUAAAGGGCGCGUAGGUGGCGUCGCAAGUCAACGGUGAAAGCUCGACGCUCAACGUCGAGUCGGCCGUCGAGACUGCGAGGCUCGAGCACUGUAGAGGCAGAUGGAAUUCCGGGUGUAGCGGUGGAAUGCGUAGAGAUCCGGAAGAACACCGGUGGCGAAGGCGGUCUGCUGGGCAGUUGCUGACACUGAGGCGCGACAGCGUGGGGAGCAAACAGG
rnacentral:rRNA from 1 species